CCGAAGCAGCAACUGCUUCAUUUCCUGAAUGAAUCAACUCUCGUCUCGAUUCUGACCACAAGCCCUAUAUAAAUCUCUGCGAGACUUCCGUGCGUCCGGUGUCUCAGUCUGAAGAACGCUGCUGUGCUGCUGGUGUGAGCUAACGCAUAUUGACGAUGGAAAUCACAUGACCGCGCUCACUCCGUGGGCUCAAAGCAGACAUGCCCACAUCCUGACCGACAACCAUGUCCGAGCGGCAGCUCUCGGAAGGAGCUGCUGCCUCUGGGACUGCAGGUGGAGCCAGCAAGGACAGCACUGAGCUGCUUUCACUAACACUCGUCUUCUCUGAGGAGCAGCAGGACCUGACUUGGACUGGACGAAGCCUGGAUAUGUGAUGGCGUCAGUCCACCUGCCGCCCCCCAUGGUCCAGCCCUGAGGCUGUGAACAGGACUUAAACAUUGGGUUUAAAUGUCCUAAAGGAAUUGCCUACCUUAUCUACAGGAGAUGAUUGUCCUGUAUAAACAACUGUGAAAUGUUUUUAUCCUGUACACAUAUUCAAAUAAAUGCUCGAGCAUCCA